ACAAUGAGGUAAUCCUGUUUAAAACAUGAAACAGACCACCCAUGUCUCUUCACAGAGGCCUAACCUGCUAAAAGGUUGGAGAUCAAGUUUUGCUCCUUAACGGGCAGCUAGUCACAAAGUGUCUUGCUGCUAAAGAAAUUAGUUCGCGCUUUCGUUCACAUUGCAAGACAGGAUGUUUGUGCUGCAUUCAUGUGUUGAAAUUAUUGGAAAAUGCAGUUCCUGACUGGGAAAAUUCACACUGAAUCAACAUCAUGAUAUAGGGCAUGCAUUGGCAGCGGUCUGUGCUCUCCGAGUGCCCUUUUAGUUUUCUAUGGGUUUGUUUACAAUAAAGAAUG